AACGAACGCUGGCGGCGUGGUUUAGGCAUGCAAGUCGAGCGAGAAAGUCCUUCGGGACGAGUACAGCGGCGAAAGGGUGAGUAAUAUAUAGGUAACCUACCUCUUGGACUCGGAUAAUUCCUGGAAACGGGUUGUAAUACGAGAUCGUCCUAUUGGGUCGCAUGGCCCGACUGGUAAAUGGUAGCUCUGCUUCUGCCGAGAGAGGGGCCUAUAUCCUAUUAGCUAGUUGGUGAGGUAAUGGCUCACCAAGGCUUUGAUGGGUAGCCGGACUGAGAGGUUGGCCGGUCACACUGGGACUGAGACACUGCCCAGACUCCUACGGGAGGCUGCAGUCGAGAAUCUUCCGCAAUGGGCGAAAGCCUGACGGGGCGACGCCGCGUGAACGAAGAA
rnacentral:rRNA from 1 species